AUGGGAAGCAAGGGCCUCAAGGGUGUGAUGGUGUGUUUACUCAUACUGGGGUUGGUUCUGGAACAGGUGCAAGUAGAAGGCAAGAGUUGCUGCAGGACCACCCUGGGAAGAAACUGCUACAACCUUUGCCGCUCCCGUGGUGCUCAGAAGUUAUGCUCAACCGUCUGUAGGUGUAAACUCACAAGUGGCCUAAGCUGCCCCAAAGGUUUCCCUAAAUUGGCCCUUGAGUCCAACUCAGAUGAACCAGACACCAUUGAGUAUUGCAACUUGGGAUGUAGGUCUUCCGUGUGUGACUACAUGGUCAACGCAGCUGCUGACGAUGAAGAGAUGAAACUCUAUGUGGAAAAUUGUGGCGAUGCUUGUGUCAAUUUCUGUAACGGUGAUGCUGGCCUCACUUCCCUUGAUGCGUAA
rnacentral:rRNA from 1 species